ANAGUUCAGAUNNNGNAAAGNCCNGGGGGNNNAANCNUNNGGAAAUUGCAUUUGGAAACUGGGCAAAACUAGAAGUACUNGUAGANGGGGGGGUAGAANUUUCAGGUUGUAGCGGUGAAAUGCGUAGAGAUCUGAAGGAAUACCGGUGGCGAAGGCGGCCCCCUGGACAGAUACUGACACUCAGAUGCGAAAGCGUGGGGAGCAAACAGGAUUAGAUACCCUGGUAGUCCACGCCGUAAACGAUGUCUACUUGGAGGUUGUGGCCUUGAGCCGUGGCUUUCGGAGCUAACGCGUUAAGUAGACCGCCUGGGGAGUACGGUCGCAAGAUUAAAACUCAAAUGAAUUGACGGGGGCCCGCACAAGCGGUGGAGCAUGUGGUUUAAUUCGAUGCAACGCGAAGAACCUUACCUACUCUUGACAUCUACAGAAGCCAGCGGAGACGCAGGUGUGCCUUCGGGAACUGUAAGACAGGUGCUGCAUGGCUGUCGUCAGCUCGUGUUGUGAAAUGUUGGGUUAAGUCCCGCAACGAGCGCAACCCUUAUCCUUGUUUGCCAGCACUUCGGGUGGGAACUCCAGGGAGACUGCCGGUGAUAAACCGGAGGAAGGUGGGGACGACGUCAAGUCAUCAUGGCCCUUACGAGUAGGGCUACACACGUGCUACAAUGGCGCAUACAGAGGGCGGCCAACUUGCGAAAGUGAGCGAAUCCCAAAAAGUGCGUCGUAGUCCGGAUUGGAGUCUGCAACUCGACUCCAUGAAGUCGGAAUCACUAGUAAUCGUGGAUCAGAAUGCCACGGUGAAUACGUUCCCGGGCCUUGUACACACCGCCCGUCACACCAUGGGAGUGGGCUGCAAAAGAAGUGGGUAGUUUAACCUUCGGGAGGACGCUCACCACUUUGUGGUUCAUGACUGGGGUGAAGUCGUAACAAGGUAACCG
rnacentral:rRNA from 1 species